CCCUCGUGCGGCGUGAGAGUCACCCGGGGCCCUGCCCGGCUAAGGGAGCCGCCCCCGGCCCUACGGCGUCGUCCGUUAGGGCAGGCCCCGCCUCUUCCGGGACUCUCUGGCUGGGCCACCGCCUCCUCCUCCCUCGCUCGCUCUCCCUUUUGUGAGUUAUAGCAACCGUUGCCUUGUGAAUCAAGCGCCAUAGUCACCGUAGUCCUGGCGACUGUUACCCAUCAACAACAACCGCACCUCUCCUGCUCCUCCUCCUCCUCCUGCUGCUGCUCCUCACCCCCUUCCUCAUCGUCACCCACAACAACAACAACAACAGCCACCUCCAGCAGCAACGACAGCGGGAACACCACCACAGCCCGCCUCAGCCCAGCAUUCUGCGCUGUGAACAGCUGAGAGUGCAUUUUGACAGUGGAAGUCUUACAUGAGUUGAAUUACAAAAAGUAACUAAUAUUUAUUAGGGAGGACUAAGUCUACUCAUUAAAGCAUUGGAAAAGGUAUAAUGUCCAAAGCAGAAAAACAGAUGUAUCUGAGAGGAGAUUAGAAGUUAAGUUUUGGUCAUCUAUAACAAAGAAAAGAGUGUGUGUGGGAAGUUGUGACCAGACAUGCUAAUGUAUGUAGUCCAAAUCUGUUUUAUAGGAAGGGCAACAUAGCAGGAUUUGGCCAUUAAAAAUGGCUUGAAGUUGUAAUUGGAUGUUAAUAGUGGGUAUAGACACAUUGAUUGAUAAUAUGUAAAGUCCUCUAAUAAAAUUAGCUGUGUCAUCUCCAUAAACCAA